rnacentral:rRNA from 1 species
UGUAGUCAUAUGCUUGUCUCAAAGAUUAAGCCAUGCAUGUCUAAGUAUAAGCAAUUAUACCGCGAAACUGCGAAUGGCUCAUUAUAUAAGUUAUCGUUUAUUUGAUAGCACAUUACUACUUGGAUAACCGUGGUAAUUCUAGAGCUAAUACAUGCUGAAAAUCCCGACUUCGGAAGGGAUGUAUUUAUUAGAUUAAAAACCAAUGCCCUCUGGGCUUCUGGGUGAUUCAUGAUAACUUCUCGAAUCGCAUGGCCUUGCGCCGGCGAUGGUUCAUUCAAAUCUCUUCCCUAUCAACUUUCGAUGCGAAGGUCUUGUCUUCGCAUGGUUACAACGGGUAACGGAGGGUUAGGGCUCGACCCCGGAGAAGGAGCCUGAGAAACGGCUACUACAUCCAAGGAAGGCAGCAGGCGCGCAAAUUACCCAAUCCCGACACGGGGAGGUAGUGACAAUAAAUACUGAUACAGGGCUCUUUUGGGUCUUGUAAUUGGAAUGAGUACAAUUUAAAUCCCUUAACGAGGAACAAUUGGAGGGCAAGUCUGGUGCCAGCAGCCGCGGUAAUUCCAGCUCCAAUAGCGUAUAUUAAAGUUGUUGUGGUUAAAAAGCUCGUAGUUGAACCUUGGGCCUGGUUGGCCGGUCCCCCUCACCGGGCGCACUGAUCCAGCCGGGCCUUUCCCUCUACGGAACCCCAUGGCCUUCACUGGUCGUGGCGGGGAAGUAGGACUUUUACUUUGAAAAAAUUAGAGUGCUCCAGGCAGGCCUAUGCUCGAAUACAUUAGCAUGGAAUAAUGGAAUAGGACGCGUGGUUCUAUUUUGUUGGUUUCUAGGACCGCCGUAAUGAUUAAUAGGGACAGUCGGGGGCAUCAGUAUUCAAUUGUCAGAGGUGAAAUUCUUGGAUCUAUUGAAGACUAACUACUGCGAAAGCAUUUGCCAAGGAUGUUUUCAUUGAUAAGGAACGAAAGUUAGGGGAUCGAAGACGAUCAGAUACCGUCGUAGUCUUAACUAUAAACUAUGCCGACUAGGGAUCGGACGAUGUUAUUUAUUGACUCGUUCGGCACCUU